CGCUGCUGAAGUCAGUGUUGUAAUGGUGAAUCGGGAUUUUUAAAUGAAGUGGGUUUGAAUACUCUUGACUGUUUUGUGAAAUCGAGUUACGUUUGUGAUUGAAGGAUUAAAAGGGUGUCUAUAGGAUUGAGUAUGCGCAGUGAAUGAAAUUUAUUGGGUUAAUCUAACAAGACAGUUAGUGGAUACAAGAUCGUAAGUACAAAGCAGUAUUGAAGGUUAACAGUUUGGGUUGUACGGGGUUCUCUGUAACGUCUAGAGACCUACCGG
rnacentral:lncRNA from 1 species